UACAGAGGUCUCAAGCGUUGUUCGGAUUCAUUGGGCGUAAAGGGUGCGCAGGCGGUCCUGCAAGUCAGGCGUGAAAUCCCCGGGCUUAACCUGGGAAUGGCACUUGAAACUACGGGACUGGAGUAUGGCAGAGGGAGGUGGAAUUCCACGUGUAGCGGUGAAAUGCGUAGAGAUGUGGAGGAACACCAGUGGCGAAGGCGACUCUUUGGCCUGUAACUGACACUGAGGCGCGAAAGCGUGGGGAGCAAACAGG
rnacentral:rRNA from 1 species